rnacentral:lncRNA from 1 species
CCGCCCUCCGAGGCUGCAUCCGCGGAAGCCCGGCUCCCCGAGCGCUCCGGCCCGGCCCGGCGCCCCGGACCUGAGUGCGUCCCCAUGAAGGCGCCCGGGCUGGCCCAGGCGGCCGUGGCAGAGGAGACCCCGGACUGGGCGCCCGAGCUCUGCCCCAGCUCCGAGGCGCGGUCGCCGGAGCCGCCUGCCAACCGCCUUCAAGACUUCGACACGCUGGUCACCGUGGGAAAGCAACUAGAAGCCAUUUGUGUCAAGGUAACGUCUGGAGAAACAAAAGGUCAGGAAUGGCCAACGUCCCUACUGGCCACAGUCCAGCCCCAAUCUGCAAGACAGAGCCAGCCGCCCCGGGGGAAUUCCCGCCUGGUGGGACUCCACGUCACCAGCCCCCAGCUGCUCAGGGUACAGCCCCUCGUGAGAACCGAGCCACAGUCAUGUUUCCUACAUCAGCCUCCUGCUCAGGGGUUUGUACAGAGACCACUGCCAGCCCUCUAGGUGGUCCCUGCAAAGAGAGUCCCAGCCCCCAAGGCUCCAAAUGGACAGGGCACCAUGUUGACCCCUUCGUCGGCCUCCAGUUUGCCGACUGUAACAUGUUUCAUCCAGUUCAGGACGUUUAUUUAUUUCCAACUUGCAUACAAAACAUACUGAGAAACUAAAACCAUCGUUAAAAGUGAAGACACGUUGAGACAGGUAUCUCGACCUGCCAAGUAUAAAGCUAAAGCUGAGUUC